rnacentral:rRNA from 1 species
AUUGAACGCUGGCGGCAUGCCUUACACAUGCAAGUCGAACGGCAGCACGGGGGCAACCCUGGUGGCGAGUGGCGAACGGGUGAGUAAUGCAUCGGAACGUGCCCUGACGUGGGGGAUAACGUAGCGAAAGUUACGCUAAUACCGCAUAUUCUGUGAGCAGGAAAGCAGGGGAUCGCAAGACCUUGCGCUUUAGGAGCGGCCGAUGUCGGAUUAGCUAGUUGGUGGGGUAAAAGCUCACCAAGGCGACGAUCCGUAGCGGGUCUGAGAGGAUGAUCGGCCACACUGGGACUGAGACACGGCCCAGACUCCUACGGGAGGCAGCAGUGGGGAAUUUUGGACAAUGGGCGCAAGCCUGAUCCAGCCAUGCCGCGUGAGUGAAGAAGGCCUUCGGGUUGUAAAGCUCUUUCGGCCGGGAAGAAAUCGCACGGGCUAAUACCCUGUGUGGAUGACGGUACUGGAAUAAGAAGCACCGGCUAACUACGUGCCAGCAGCCGCCGUAAGAC